UGGCCUUGACAUACUAAGAACUUUCCAGAGAUGGAUUGGUGCCUUCGGGAACUUAGAUACAGGUGCUGCAUGGCUGUCGUCAGCUCGUGUCGUGAGAUGUUGGGUUAAGUCCGCAACGAGCGCAACCCUUUUCCUAUUUGCCAGCGGGUAAUGCCGGGAACUUUAAGGAUACUGCCAGUGACAAACUGGAGGAAGGCGGGACGACGUCAAGUCAUCAUGGCCCUUACGGCCAGGGCUACACACGUGCUACAAUGGUCGGUACAAAGGGUUGCUACCUCGCGAGAGGAUGCUAAUCUCAAAAAGCCGAUCGUAGUCCGGAUCGCAGUCUGCAACUCGACUGCGUGAAGUCGGAAUCGCUAGUAAUCGCGGAUCAGAAUGCCGCGGUGAAUACGUUCCCGGGCCUUGUACACACCGCCCGUCACACCAUGGGAGUUUGUUGCACCAGAAGUAGGUAGUCUAACCGCAAGGAGGACGCUUACCACGGUGUGGCCGAUGACUGGGGUGAAGUCGUAACAAGGUAGGCGUAGAUGA
rnacentral:rRNA from 1 species